rnacentral:misc_RNA from 1 species
AUGGCCUUGAGGGCUCUCCCAAUCUCUUCCUCUCACAAUUGGUUCCCACCAAAUAGAGGAUUUACCUCCACUACUGAAGCUCUGAGACCUAACAGAACUUUCAUCAAAUAUGCGCCAAUUCUAGCCAAGGCUGCAGAGAAGGACGGAGGCGAGGACGAGGAGGAGGGCCAGACGAAAAGCAAGCAAAGCUUGCUCGGGGGGCUAAUAGAUGCACUGGAUUUCUCUCAGGUGAGGUCG